rnacentral:lncRNA from 1 species
CACAACUGCACCAUACUCUCUGUGGUGCAGAUGCGGCGCCACAGAGGACCCAUGCACUUUUCAGCCAUAAACUGAUCAUAAAUUAUCUCAGACUACCGGUUCACCAGACCUAGUCUUUUUGAACUCAUCAUUGACAUUCCUAACUGAUUUGGCCCGACCUCCUAUCAGCCUAAUUGAGGACCAAUAUGACGGUUAGAAUGCCAAUUCUAAAACCUUUGAGCAUGAAAUUUUCGCUAUAAGUUCACCAA